rfam:Cavia porcellus supercont2_8 genomic scaffold, whole genome shotgun sequence.
UGGCACCCAACGUGGGGCUCCUGGCACUGGGGAGUCAACGAGGGAGCCGUUUGAGAAUGCUGGCUAAAAGUGGAAGCAAAUUGAAUCAAGGACCGAGGCAUGCGCAGACAAUCACCCGACAUGCUGCUUGAGUCACAGUGAGUGAACGGCAACCCCAUUCCCUUUUCCGGACAUGGGUCAAGCAUUGAGCGAACAUGAAUUGUUCAUGGGAGGCCUUAGCAAGGCAUUAAAGACAAGAUGGGUAAGGGUUAGAACAAAAGAAUUAUUGCAGUAUUUUCAAUUUAUCCAUAAAGUUUG